AUUGAACGCUGGCGGCAGGCUUAACACAUGCAAGUCGAACGAGACCUUCGGGUCUAGUGGCGCACGGGUGCGUAACGCGUGGGAAUCUGCCCUUGGGUGCGGAAUAACAGUUAGAAAUGACUGCUAAUACCGCAUAAUGACUCCGGUCCAAAGGUUUAUCGCCCAAGGAUGAGCCCGCGUCGGAUUAGCUAGUUGGUGAGGUAAAAGCUCACCAAGGCGACGAUCCGUAGCUGGUCUGAGAGGAUGAUCAGCCACACUGGGACUGAGACACGGCCCAGACUCCUACGGGAGGCAGCAGUGGGGAAUAUUGGACAAUGGGCGAAAGCCUGAUCCAGCAAUGCCGCGUGAGUGAUGAAGGCCUUAGGGUUGUAAAGCUCUUUUACCCGGGAUGAUAAUGACAGUACCGGGAGAAUAAGCCCCGGCUAACUCCGUGCCAGCCGCCGCGGUAAUAC
rnacentral:rRNA from 1 species